rnacentral:rRNA from 1 species
AUACGGAGGGUGCAAGCGUUAUUCGGAAUCACUGGGCGUAAAGGACGCGUAGGCGGGUUGGCAAGUCAGAUGUGAAAUCCUACAGCUUAACUGUAGAACUGCAUUUGAAACUGCUAACCUAGAGUAUGGGAUGGGGAGAUGGAAUUAGUGGUGUAGGGGUAAAAUCCGUAGAUAUCACUAGGAAUACCGAAAGCGAAGGCGAUCUCCUGGAACAUAACUGACGCUAAGGCGUGAAAGCGUGGGGAGCAAACAGGAUUAGAAACCCUAGUAGUCC